AUUGAACGCUGGCGGCAGGCCUAACACAUGCACGUCGAACGAGUGGCGGACGGGUGAGUAAUGUCUGGGAAACUGCCUGAUGGAGGGGGAUAACUACUGGAAACGGUAGCUAAUACCGCAUACCAUCGGCUUUGCCCAGAUGGGAUUAUCUAGUAGGUGGGGUAAAGUCUCACCUAGGCGACGAUCCUGAACUGGUCUGAGAGGAUGACCAGCCACACUGGAAAUGAGACACGGUCCAGACUCCUACGGGAGGCAGCAGUGGGGAAUAUUGCACAAUGGGCGCAAGCCUGAUGCAGCCAUGCCGCGUGGAUGAAGAAGGCCUUCGGGUUGUAAAGUACUUUCAGCGGGGAGGCGUUACCCGCAGAAGAAGCACCGGCUAACUCCGUGCCAGCAGCCGCGGUAAUAC
rnacentral:rRNA from 1 species